rnacentral:rRNA from 1 species
GAUGAACGCUGGCGGCGUGCCUAAUACAUGCAAGUCGAGCGAACAGACGAGGAGCUUGCUCCUCUGACGUUAGCGGCGGACGGGUGAGUAACACGUGGAUAACCUACCUAUAAGACUGGGAUAACUUCGGGAAACCGGAGCUAAUACCGGAUAAUAUAUUGAACCGCAUGGUUCAAUAGUGAAAGACGGUUUUGCUGUCACUUAUAGAUGGAUCCGCGCCGCAUUAGCUAGUUGGUAAGGUAACGGCUUACCAAGGCAACGAUGCGUAGCCGACCUGAGAGGGUGAUCGGCCACACUGGAACUGAGACACGGUCCAGACUCCUACGGGAGGCAGCAGUAGGGAAUCUUCCGCAAUGGGCGAAAGCUUGACGGAGCAACGCCGCGUGAGUGAUGUAGGUCUUCGGAUCGUAAAACUCUGUUAUUAGGGAAGAACAAAUGUGUAAGUAACGAUGCACGUCUUGACGGUACCGAAGCAGAAAGCCACGGCUAACUACGU